rnacentral:rRNA from 7 species
UUUCAACAACGGAUCUCUUGGCUCUGGCAUCGAUGAAGAACGCAGCGAAAUGCGAUAAGUAAUGUGAAUUGCAGAAUUCAGUGAAUCAUCGAAUCUUUGAACGCACAUUGCGCCCGCCAGUAUUCUGGCGGGCAUGCCUGUUCGAGCGUCAUUACAAC